rnacentral:rRNA from 1 species
CCUACGGGUGGCUGCAGUGAGGAAUAUUGGUCAAUGGACGAGAGUCUGAACCAGCCACGUAGCGUGAAGGAUGAAUGCCCUAUGGGUUGUAAACUUCUUUUAUAUGGGAAUACAAUGAUUCACGUGUGGGUUUUUGUAUGUACUAUAUGAAUAAGGAUCGGAUAACUCCGUGCCAGCAGCCGCGGUAAUACGGAGGAUCCGAGCGUUACCCGGAUUUAUUGGGUUUAAAGGGAGCGUAGGUGGAUUGUUAAGUCAGUUGUGAAAGUUUGCGGCUCAACCGUAAAAUUGCAGUUGAAACUGGCAGUCUUGAGUACAGUAGAGGUGGGCGGAAUUCGUGGUGUAGCGGUGAAAUGCUUAGAUAUCACGAAGAACUCCGAUUGCGAAGGCAGCUCACUGGACUGCAACUGACACUGAGGCGCGAAAGUGUGGGUAUCAAACAGGAUUAGAUACCCUGGUAGUC